AGGCUCCUGGUUUUGAUGUUUGGAUAGUGCCUGUUAUUCAAGGUUUUGUACAAAUAAAUGCUGUACCUUUAGAUCCUGGUGUUUCUGUGUCUUCUCCUGAGGACAGUUCCGAUAGAACAAAGUUAGACCAUUAUGUUUUGACCUUAAUAUCUAGAAGAAGUCGGUUUCGCUGUGGGACAAGGUAUAAAAGGCGGGGAGUGGAUGAAGACGGAAAGGUUGCCAAUUAUGUAGAAACCGAACAGAUUAUUUCUUAUUCUCAUCAUCGAGUUGCAUUUAUACAGUUACGUGGUUCUGUUCCUGUGUUUUGGAGUCAACCAGGUUACAAAUAUCGACCCCCUCCUAGACUAGAUAAAGGUU